rnacentral:rRNA from 1 species
AGUGAACGCUGGCGGUAGGCCUAACACAUGCAAGUCGAACGGCAGCACAGGAGAGCUUGCUCUCUGGGUGGCGAGUGGCGGACGGGUGAGGAAUACAUCGGAAUCUACUUUUUCGUGGGGGAUAACCUAGGGAAACUUAGGCUAAUACCGCAUGCGACCUACGGGUGAAAGCGGGGGAUCGCAAGACCUCGCGCGACAGGAUGAGCCGAUGUCCGAUUAGCUAGUUGGCGGGGUAAAGGCCCACCAAGGCGACGAUCGGUAGCUGGUCUGAGAGGAUGAUCAGCCACACUGGGACUGAGACACGGCCCAG